CCCCCGUGAGGAUACCCAAAACACUAAGACCAUGGCAUAUGGCCGAAAUAAAUUAAGACCAUGUAGCUUGAAACGAAAAUUGGUAUUUCUAAAAAGGACAUGUAUGGAAGUAAUGACCAGACAUUAUAAAGUUCUGGGACAUCAAGGCAGUGUUUAUGAAACCAGCUCUGACAACUGACACAUUCAACCAUGUCAUCUUCCUCCCUGACAUAUGGAAGGCGACAUGUACAGUAAAUUGUAAAACAAUUCCACAAGUGACUUCGGAUAUUCCUCCUUUUGAAAGUUAUCUUGCUGGGAUCCUGUCC